UGAGGAAUAUUGCGCAAUGGGGGAAACCCUGACGCAGCGACGCCGCGUGGGCGACGAAGGCCUUCGGGUCGUAAAGCCCUUUUGGCAGGGACGAGUGAGGACGGUACUGCCGAAUAAGUCUCGGCUAACUACGUG
rnacentral:rRNA from 1 species